GACAUGUGGCAGGAGCUAGUAGCGCUUUUGAACGAAGAAGUCCCUGCGCGUAACACCAGGGCCCAGUGGCAGGCCUGAUGGAGGAAUGAGCGCUACUAUUCGCAGCAGGGUCUUGCCAAACUCCGAGGGCAGCAGAGCGACACCCGAGGCGGCCAGAUUUCGGAUUACCGCGGCCGCGUCGUGCUUGACAGGGACGAGUGUGCGAGGCCCAUAGUUCGGGUGGUCUGAAUCGGUGAGCCCUGCUCCAGCUGCUACUGGUGUGGCUGAAGAGGAUGUGGCCCAGGAUCUUCCCCGUGCCCCAACUC